rnacentral:rRNA from 1 species
UACAGAGGGUGCAAGCGUUGUUCGGAAUUACUGGGCGUAAAGCGUGCGUAGGCGGUAUUGAGAGUCACGGGUGAAAUCCCCAAGCUUAACUUGGGAACUGCCUGUGAGACCUCAGUACUAGAGUGUGAGAGAGGAUUGUGGAAUUCCUGGUGUAGCGGUGAAAUGCGUAGAGAUCAGGAGGAACACCGGUGGCGAAGGCGACAAUCUGGCUCAUAACUGACGCUCAGGCACGAAAGCGUGGGUAGCAAACAGG